rnacentral:tmRNA from 1 species
GGCCUUCACAUCGCGUCGCCGCCUCCCUAUAUCGCGCGGGCCGGCUUCGGCCGGCUAUGGCGAUAAAAUGCGGUGUGCAAUAGGCACAGCGGACCCGGGGGCAGUACCCGGCGGCUCCACCACAAAGCCCGUCCCGGCGAGAGGGGCGGGUUCUCUGACGGGGCCGAACCAGGAUCGACGUGUGUUGAAAGGCACUGUUUUCGCCCGGGCUGAGUAACCCGUUAAAGGCUCAAAACUCACAAGUGCCAACGACAACGAAGCACUCGCUCUCGCCGCGUAACUGACGGCCUCACGGCCUGACGUUACAAAGCUAUGAGCGCGGUUCGGACCGAACCGGGCAACAGAAUCGGAAACC